rnacentral:rRNA from 1 species
CCUACGGGAGGCUGCAGUGGGGAAUUUUGGACAAUGGGGGCAACCCUGAUCCAGCGACGCCGCGUGGAGGACGAAGGUCUUCGGAUUGUAAACUCCUUUUGAAGGGGAUGAAUGCCCUGGUGAAGAGCCAGGGGUGACAGUACUCUUUGAAUAAGCCACGGCUAACUACGUGCCAGCAGCCGCGGUAAUACGUAGGUGGCAAGCGUUACUCGGAAUCACUAGGCGUAAAGCGCAGGUAGGCGGUUUGAUAAGUCUCUUGUGAAAGCUCCCGGCUUAACUGGGAGAGGUCAAGGGAAACUGUCAGGCUAGAGUGUGGCAGAGGAAACUGGAAUUCCCGGUGUAGCGGUGAAAUGCGUAGAUAUCGGGAGGAAUACCUAUGGCGAAAGCAGGUUUCUGGGCCGUCACUGACGCUGAGCUGCGAAAGCUAGGGGAGCAAACAG